CCAAUUCCUGUCUCUUGGACAGCUCUUAACUGAAAUGCUUGCAAUAUCAGACCCAGUACCUGAGAGACCUCUAAGAAGGUGUAAUGCUUAUAUUCAACAGCUCUCUGCCCUAAAAUCCAAGCUCUAAUGGGAAUGGGUGAGAUAAUGAGAUCUACAGUGUCAACAGCUUGAUGAUGAGCGUGAGAAUAUUGGAACCACAAAUCCCCGGAACUCUGCAGCCUGACAGCAGCAGUCCCUGACAAUUCCCUGAAAACUUUGUUCUUGAUACAGCUUGUGUUAAAAAAAAAUAAACAGAAGCAGGUGUCUCACA